rnacentral:rRNA from 1 species
CAGCAGCCGCGGGAACACAGAGGGUGCAAGCGUUAAUCGGAAUUACUGGGCGUAAAGCGCGCGUAGGUGGUUUGUUAAGUUGGACGUGUAAUCCACGGGCUCAACCUGGGAACUGCAUCCAAAACUGGCAGGCUAGAGUAGGGCAGAGGGUGGUGGAAUUUCCUGUGUAGCGGUGUAAUGCGUAGAUAUAGGAAGGAACACCAGUGGCGAAGGCGACCACCUGGGCUCAUACUGACACUGAGGUGCGAAAGCGUGGGGAGCAAACAGGAUUAGAUACCCCUGUAGUCCCUGUCUCUUAUAC